CCCCGGUAAACCGACCCAUGCUCCGGUAACAGAUCAUAGCGAUUUACAGUGAUUAGUCAAAUAAUUAUCAUUCUGCCCCGGUAAACCGACAGGAUUAAAGGAAGGAAUUCCGAAAGGAAACUGAAUUAGAGUCGCCGGAGCAUGUGUCGUAGAAAUAUAUGUAUUCAUACACGAAAUAUAUACAAGUAUACAAUAACAAGUAUAUACAACAAUAUGAAAUGACAUUAGUUUGCCUAUAUUUAUAUACAUUCUGUGAUAUCUUUCGAUGGUUACUCACUUUCACAUGACUAUUCUUCAAGAUGUUGGGAAACACUAAUGAUUUGGUCAUAUUCGACCACAUGCGUGUAGUAUACAAGUUCAUUUUACAAGUGCAUUAGUUUACCAGGACAGCCUGUUU